rnacentral:misc_RNA from 1 species
AAUUUUAAUUCACCAAAGCAGACUGCAUUCACUAAUAUCCCGAAGACGACCGAGCGAGAAAUACUCCUCUCCCGUUCUCCCUGAAACGUAUACCUUUUCAUGAUCACUUCAGUCGCGUCGCGGACACCACAGAGAGCGGACGUAUCGCUCCCCAACCAAAAAAAUAAUAAAAAACCCCCACUAAAACACGUGCAUUCGAAUUCCAAAUUCAAAAGUGACGUUUUAACUUUUUUUUUCUCCAACCAUUCGCGCGAGUGUUCGACAUUUGAACGUGGAAGAAGUUUGCAAAAAGUUUUUAAUUAAUAAAAAAUUGUGGUGACUUUGUCGGUGAUGCCAGAUUAUUAAGAUGAAAAUAACCUAGGAAUAUUUUGGUCGAGGACGCCGCUCGGAGACAGUUAAACUGUUCGUGAAAUAUAUGGAUCAUGGUUUACUUGUGUGUUCAGUGAAAAAGUUUCAAGGAUUGCUUAGGAAGUUAAGCAAGUUAAGUUGAACGAAACAGGUCGCUUAACGGACGAGAGCCUUUAAUUAAGAUUUUAUAAAGUGGCGCAAAGUAAUCACCUUUUCACUCAAAACUAAUGAAAUUAUUAACAAACUAAAAAACUUAACUACAUAUCUAAAAAAAUACAAGAAAAAGAGGUGACUAGAAUUUUGUGCAAGCAAGUGUAAAAAAGUGAUUUGAAAACAAUAACUGUUCCGAAGAAUAACAGUGAAAUAUUAGGUGUUCCAAAAAAAUAACAGUGAAAUAUUAGGUGUUCCGAAAAAUAACAGUGAAAAAAAAGUGAAAGUGUAAAAUUGAAAUUAAAAAUUAAAUAGUGUAUUAAGUGAUUAGUGAAUAAAUAGCUAUGCUUUGCUAGUGAGGUGAUAUUGAUGAUUUUGUUAGCAUCACCACGAAUGCGGGCGAGCGGCCCCUCCGGCCGGCAGGUCAAUGACAUCGCCGGCACUUCUUGUGCUUUCCUUGGCUGUUGUUUGCUCAAUCUUCGGCGUCACUUCGGAAACAGCUGAUUAUGACAACAGACCCAAAAUGGCCGACACAGACUAUGAUAUAAAUAUAAAAAACAAUUGGACCAAUAAACUAAGUCAUAAAAUUAAUUACAACGAAAACCUAGACGAGGUUAGGGCUAAUAAUAAUAAUAAUUUUGACGAAAUAUAUGAAGAAGAUGAAUUACAAGAAAGGAAUUUAGAACUACAUAGAAGUUAUAUUAGAGAAAUGAUGGGUAAUAGAGUAGAAGAAAUGAAACAUUUUGAUGAAAGUAGAGAAGUUAAGAGUAGAACGAGAAGAGAAGAUAAGGACCCAAGAUGUGCAUCAUUUGAGUAUGAUGACAAAGAGAAAAUUGUAACUCAUCCGCACUCUAAGAAUGCUGGGUCUAAUUACUAUUAUAAUAACACGGAUUGUGUUACUAAAAUUAAUGCUACAUCAAUAGACCAAGUAAUAGUGCUCACGUUUGUAGACGUUUUCCGCAUUGAAUAUCAUCCGGAAUGCGCCUAUGACUUUUUAGAGAUACGAGAUGGUUACUAUGCUUACGCCGACCUGCUAGGCAGGUUCUGCGGCCAGGCGUUUCCGAGGACGUUGAAAACCAAAGGACCUAACGCCUGGUUGAAGUUCCAUUCUGACGACACUAUAGAAUACGAGGGGUUUAAGAUCAAUGUCGAAUUUAAAACUGCUCCGAGUUAUCACAUACCACAGUCGUGCUACAAAACUUUCGAAAACGUCAAAUAUGGUAUCAUAGACACUAAGAAGAUAGAUGCUCAUUGUACAAGUAACUCGAACCACGCGCUCGAUGUGAUGUGGACUAUCAUAGUUCCUGAGAAUAUGAAGAUAUACCUUAACUUUACUCAUUAUACUCUAGACAAGCCGAAUGAGUGCAACAAGAAUAUUAUCCAAGUCUUUGAGACGGUUCACCAGGAGAUGGACACCAAUCUAGCAGAAUACUGCGGGUCUGUCGCCAACUCGGUGACGACAAAGGAUGGCAACGUGAUGUAUGUGAGAAUGUUCGUAGCUAAGGAUGCUCAAGAGGAAACCAAGUUUAUAGCCACCUUCAACGCGUACAGGACACUAGGGUCGGGUACUGAUGAUAAGUGCACAGAUGAAGAGUUUGAUUGCGAAGAUAACACUUGUAUAGAUUUGCAUCUGAAAUGCGAUAAUUUGGCUCACUGUCGGUUGAAAGCUGAUGAAGACCCUGCAAAAUGCGAUACGAAAACAGAAUCAACGAUCAACCAGCCUCACAUAUUGAUGAUCUUAAUUAUAUUCUCGCUAAUCCUGUCAGGCAUGACUUUCGUGUUUAUCUUCAAGUGCAUACGAAAGCUGUAUCAGGAUCAUAAGAUUAUUAAGGAACACAUAAGACAGUCAUGUGAAGAUCGCCUGGAUAACCUGGUUGAGAGUCGUCUGACCCUGGACCCUAAGAGGCUUCAGAGAGACAGUGAGCCUCGAGUGAGUUUGGAGAGAGAGAACCACAACAAUGAAAUGGUGAAGAAACAGAGAAGUUUUUCGUCGAAACAUAAGCAAUCAAGCAUAGAAUCUGACUACCAAGAAACCCAUUUAGACCUGGACGAAGAAAUCUGGAGAAGAGAAGUGGACAGCAUGCCGAUAGAAGAAGAUAUCAGAAUCGAACGCAAUGGAAGAACGAGACGCAGUGAUUUGAGCAAAAAAGAAGAAUCUAUGAGGAGUAGAACGAAAGAGAGUGACGAGAGCAGAGAGAAGAAGGAACUUAAGGAACAUAAGAGGGAAAUAAGAGAUGUUUCUGUUGGGGCUCCUGAUACCAAAGAGUCUGGUUGUCAGACGAGAGAGAGUUUGUUCCAAACGGAUCCUCCGCCUAGUUCUGAUGGUUCAGGCACCAACAGCCGAGGGUUCUCCACGUUCGGCUACUCGGGCGCCACCAUAGUCAGGCCUUCGCCCCCGAUCACCAACACCUCGGAGAUCACCAUAGAACUGCUCAAGCAGAUACCUCCACAGGAGAUUAAACAAAAGAAAAUCCCCGACCGUCGCCCAAUAAGUACCGAGACCACCCGAUCAGCUCCCGACGUCAUCAUAGUCUCCAAGCCGAUUCGCUGAGGGUGACCUUUGGGGCCCCCACCGUGGGCUCCAACACCCCCCGACUCCUGGUACCCCCUCGAGCCCAGACUCCGGCCCGAGGGGUCCUACCACCCACACACAUGUCACCUCGACACGUUUUCAAAAAGCAUGUCAUUUGACAACAACUGUGAUGGGUACUACAGUAAAUAUUUUGACGAGAGACCGAAGUUGAUAUACGAUUAUUGUUUGAAAAGUGAUUUAGAUUAUAAAAGGUCGCAGACUUUGCCUAGGAAUUUGGGUUCUAGUGUGGAUUUUAGGGGGAAAGUUUACCCUCAACGCAGUGUGUGUUUUUACGGUUUGGAUGACGAAGAAGAAACUUGUCAUCGGUCAAGAAAGACGUUUGUGGUGACAGCUGACAUUGAACCCCAUAGAUAACAUUUGUGAGAACUUUUUUAGCAUUUUUUAAAUAGAUAAUAUAAUAAAAUAAAUUGUUUUUUUUUUCUGGUUUGCGGUUAAAUGAAUUGUUGUUGUUGUUUAUGGUUUUGAAAUAGGAUAAGUAUUGGAAUGGAUUUUGUGGUUUUUAAUUAUGUAAUUGUUUUAAUUUAUUUGUUUGAAUUUGGAUCGCCAAAAGCACUAUGGUUUUAUACAGUUGGCCACAAAUAAAGGUCCUGUAUUUUUUCUGAGUUUUAAAAAGAGUAUGUAUGUUAUAAAUUAAAGCAAAUGUUAUUUUUUUAAUAAACAGUUACGUUUUUUAUCAGAAAGUAAACUACAUCAAACGCACAUAACUUAAUAUAAAUAUGUAAAGUGAAAGCUGCUGAAAUAAUCUAAAUAUAUAUAUUUAUAACUAAAACUGCCAUUUUUAUUGUUAGUACAUUGAAAUAAAAUGUAGAAAUACUACGAAACCAAUAUAUUAUUUUGUCACCCAUCCACCGGAAAAACGUGUUUUAGCUUCUAAUCGGUCGACGUUUUCGGCUGUAACUUAGACACGAGCCAUGAGCCACUUCAAUUAUUUUGUAGUAUUUCUACAUAAAAUAUGAACAUUUAUUUUGUUUCUUUAGAUAUUUAUGAUAGACGAAUGGGUUUAAUUUGAAUUAUAUAAUAAUUUAAAGAAGUUUACUUAUAUUUUAAUGCUUUAAGAUUAUGUUAUAUUUUUCAAGUUUAUAAUAAUUAUUUAUUUAUGAAGCAAUAAAAUUACAAAUGUGUUUCACUUUUAGAAAAGAUUUAUUUGAUGCUAAAAUAAUUUAUUUGAUUGUUCAACAUAACACAUGUCUUCCAGGAAUAAAAAAGUAAUUAUUAUUAAAAAUGUUUUUGAUUUCAGGAAAAGAAAUUUCUAAUUGUUUGUUAAAUAUCAUUUUCUUGUGAAUGUGUCCACAUAGCAAUUCUAUAGAGGGAUUUAUUGAAAAAAAAAUAAAUAAAUGGAAUUUUACGUAUUUGUAAUUGAAAUGAGUAAAGGACAAUGCUCAUGAAGUAUGAGAAAAAAACCCAGGCCCGGCGCAAAAGAAAUGUAACUCAAAAUAUAGGUAAAAAUAAGUAAUUAAAUACUACAUAGGGGGCAUUAUCGAAAUCAGUGGCUAUAUGUGUGAAAUUGCUAUUCGAAUUUUAGCAUCUGCGGUACAUUGCUACUCAAGAUUUUAGAGGUAACAUAAUGUAUUAGUAAAAGGAACAGCAAACAGAUACAGUUCUGGUUUAAGAGUGUACAUAAUGACAUGUUUAUAGCAACUUCUCCACUAUUCUUCCUACUUUUACAAGAUAAUAGGAUGAUAGAACUAAAACAGGAUAUGAAUGUACUUUUCAUUUUAAUAAUAACGCUUAAAAGUCAUCGAUUCUUUAUUUCUAACACGACGAGAUCCAAAAAUGUUGCGGGAUGCGCGAACUGUUCCUCAUGUCUAGCCCACCCUAAGUAAUGUAAAACGCUCAUGACGCGAUGACGUGGGCGCUGCAGCCUGUACUUCGGUAUUGAUGUAUCUUUUUGGAGAAGC